rnacentral:tRNA from 3 species
GAUCCGUUGGUCAAGUGGUUAAGACACCGCCCUUUCACGGCGGUAACACGGGUUCGAAUCCCGUACGGAUCA